AUGCUGCACACUGAAUGGAGGUGGAGGCCUGAGUGCCCGAGGCCGGCCCGGUGCUCAGCGGCCUCUGUGGGACGCGGUCCUUCACUCGCUCACACAGGCACCCUUUCCUGCAGUGGCUACCAGGCCAGCCUGUCCCGGGGGUGCACUCCUGGGGAGGCUCUGCCAGCAGCUUGGGGGAGGCGUGAUGGGAGGAGCGUGGCUGAGGAGGCCGGCUCGGUGACACCGAGUGACCACCUGGAGAAGCUGAGAGAUGGGGGAGGUGAGGCGGGUGGCAAGGAAAUGAGCCCAGCAGGGCUAUCAGAGAGGCAUCCCCCAAAUGAGACACGGGGAGACACCCCUUGCUCAAGGGCGCCCCAUCCUGUGUGUGAUGUCCCCACCCACCUGCUGCCCCCCGGCGCAGCCCAGACCCCGUCUGCAGGAAGUGCUAGCUGUCCUCUCUCCACUGAAGGUGCUCGAAGAUGCCAAGUGCUCCUAAGAGGUGUAGACGUGACCUGCCUGACCAACAGCAUGUGCCACGCUCACCCAGACACACGCCCGCCCACCAUUGCCCCUGGCUCCUCUAAGGACUUGCUCCUGCACCUGCUCCAGAGUCACUGUGACUCACACCUCAGAGCAGCUUUUCAGGUUGUUAAUAUGGAACUCUUUCCAUCUGCAAGAGUUGAGGCCCCAAGACAACAGGUGCCAACUAUAUCCAAGUCCCAGGUGACCUAGGUAGGGUUGCAAGGGAAGUGUCAGAGACAAAUGGUGCUCAAGGCUGGGAGGAGAGUCUCCUUGGAGGGGCUGUGUUGUGAGUCCCAUGUGCCUCCACCUGCAGCAGGAGAUGGGUGGGGGCCUUCUCUCCUCACCUCAUGCCCAGUGAGAGGGGCUUCAUGAGGACCCCUCUGAGGGCCUGCCAUGUGCCAGCAGGGGCUGGUGGAGGCCCCAAAGACUGCUGUCUCUCUACACUCAAGAAAUCCAAAGGACAAAGGCAAUACCUAAAGCUCCUGGAGGCACUCAGGAUGCAGGGAUGUGGGAAGUGCCACCUGACAACCUGGUGAGUCCAAGGUACUCAUUUCCUGGAGAGCAGGUAGGGCCACAAUGCCCCAAAACUGGCCUGGGAAGGUGCCUGAAGAUGUGAGCAGAGGCCUCAACAAAAGAGGCUAGAGGCACCGUCUGACACUUGAGGCUAAGAAAGGAGGUGCCAGGGAUCCGCUGGAGAGGAUAGAGCACCGGUGUGACCAACUGCAGCAGACAACCCCCGGGACCCCACUGAGCCCUGCCUGCCAGCUUACAGAAUUGCUGACCACAUAGGACCUCACUGAACCCUCACCUCUCCUUCCUGCUGCUGUGCUGAAUGGAAGGGCAAGAGACCACAGCUACCCCGGGGGCAGGAUCAAGAGGAGAGGCCCCAGGUGAGGGUGGGGAGAAGGCUCACACUUGAAAUACAGAUCCUGCUAAUAUCAAGCUCAGCCUGUUUAAGGAGCCAAUGUGAUGGGCGGAGAGGGGUCGGGGAGAGACACUGAAUUCCCUGAAGGGACCAAAAACAUCGGGGCUGUCCUGGCUCUUAGAGGGCGGGGGAGAAGCCAGCCACAAAGGAGGUUUGCUGGGCAGGGAGAGAAAAAACUCAGAGCUGUUUUGUGUUGAUCCUGAUCCUUCUUCUGGUCCUGAGCAGAGGCAAGUAGCGGGAGGGCAGGAGGGAGUCAGUGCAUGCACAGGCCAGCAAAUGGCUGCUCCUCUUCCUGGAAGUGAUUAAGAUGUGGGACGGGAAAUAAAACAGCAUAAAAAAUAAUCA
rnacentral:lncRNA from 12 species